rnacentral:rRNA from 1 species
AGGCCAGACUCCUACGGGAGGCAGCAGUGGGGAAUAUUGCACAAUGGGGGAAACCCUGAUGCAGCGACGCCGCGUGAGUGAGGAAGUAUUUCGGUAUGUAAAGCUCUAUCAGCAGGGAAGAAAAUGACGGUACCUGACUAAGAAGCCCCGGCUAACUACGUGCCAGCAGCCGCGGUAAUACGUAGGGGGCAAGCGUUAUCCGGAUUCACUGGGUGUAAAGGGAGCGUAGACGGCCAUGCAAGCCAGGGGUGAAAGCCCGGGGCCCAACCCCGGGACUGCUCUGGAAACUGCGUCGCUGGAGUACGGGAGGGGCAGGCGGAAUUCCUGGUGUAGCGGUGAAAUGCGUAGAUAUCAGGAGGAACACCGGCGGCGAAGGCGGCCUGCUGGACCGUGACUGACGUUGAGGCUCGAGAGCGUGGGGAGCAAACAGGAUUAGAUACCCCAGUAA